rnacentral:rRNA from 1 species
UGAUGCAGCCAUGCCGCGUGUGUGAAGAAGGCCUUCGGGUUGUAAAGCACUUUCAGUUGUGAGGAAAGGUUAGUAGUUAAUACCUGCUAGCUGUGACGUUAGCAACAGAAGAAGCACCGGCUAACUCCGUGCCAGCAGCCGCGGUAAUACGGAGGGUGCGAGCGUUAAUCGGAAUUACUGGGCGUAAAGCGCACGCAGGCGGUUUGUUAAGCUAGAUGUGAAAGCCCCGAGCUCAACUUGGGAUGGUCAUUUAGAACUGGCAGACUAGAGUCUUGGAGAGGGGAGUGGAAUUUCUAGUGUAGCGGUGAAAUGCGUAGAUAUUAGAAGGAACAUCAGUGGCGAAGGCGACUCCCUGGCCAAAGACUGACGCUCAUGUGCGAAAGUGUGGGUAGCGAACAGGAUUAGAUACCCUGGUAGUCCACACCGUAAACGCUGUCUACUAGCUGUUUGUGAGUUUAANUCNNGUGNGUAGCGAAGCUAACGCGCUAAGUAGACCGCCUGG